rnacentral:rRNA from 1 species
UCCCAGACUCCUACGGGAGGCAGCAGUGGGGGAUAUUGCACAAUGGGGGGAACCCUGAUGCAGCGACGCCGCGUGGGUGAAGGAGCGUUUCGGCGCGUAAAGCCCUAUCGGCAGGGAAGAAGAUGACGGUACCUGACCAAGAAGCCCCGGCUAACUACGUGCCAGCAGCCGCGGUAAUACGUAGGGGGCAAGCGUUAUCCGGAUUUACUGGGUGUAAAGGGAGCGUAGACGGCAUGGCAAGUCAGAUGUGAAAGCCCGGGGCUCAACCCCGGGACUGCAUUUGAAACUGUCAGGCUGGAGUGCAGGAGAGGUAAGUGGAAUUCCUAGUGUAGCGGUGAAAUGCGUAGAUAUUAGGAGGAACACCAGUGGCGAGGGCGGCUUACUGGACUGUAACUGACGUUGAGGCUCGAAAGCGUGGGGAGCAAACAGGAUUAGAUCCCCUAGUA